CUUCUCUACUUCAUGGAAUUGCUUUGUUUCUUUUGGCACCGUCAAAAUUUCUUAAUGAAAACAAAAUUUUUAUCUUCGUUUCGCCAUGGAUAGAGCUCCAAGCCUUUGUAAGAGGAAUAAGAUUCCAGCCAAUAUCACUAAUGUCGCCAUGGCCGAUGCUCUUGCUGUUCGAUUUUCAAUCAGUUGAAGGAAUGGAGGAGUUUUUGAGCCUUGAUAGAUCUGGAGUACCUGCAUCGACGAUGGAAGCAGAGGUUAUUUAUCGAAAAUUCCACUAACUGCUUUGAGAACUUCGAAAAGAAGAAAGGCCCUCAGUGAUGUGGCAAUUACGACUUGAUCACGCCCAGGUGCAACUUGAGUUUAGGGGGAGAUCAGUAAAUGGAACCAAUUAGGACACAUGUCGUUGGAUGAUAUGCCCAACAGUUCAGAACUCGUGAAGGAAUGCAAGAAAUUAGAAAAUGAAACCAGUUAUUGUUCAUAUGUCUAUUGAUGAUAUGUCUAACAGUUCAGAACCCGUGAAAGAAAAUACGAAAUUGGAAACUGAGUCAAGGAAAACCGAUGAAUUAUUAGAAAGCAAAUUAGAUGAAGAUUUGAGUGUGUAAGUAAGUUGAUGAUGGAGAGAAGAAUAAGAUGGAGUCUGAAGUUACUCUCAGAGGAGGAACCAGAAAUGCUUCACUGCAAAGAAGUACCACAUGCUAAUUUAGAUGUGAAAUGCUUCUCUGAAGAUGAAAAGAUGAUGAUUCUGUGGAGAUUUCUGCAGAUGAAAUCAUAGAGUGCCGUUGUUAAAAACCUCACAUGCUUUUUCCCUCUCAGAUAUGUUUAGUUGAAAAUUUUGAUGAUUGAUAGCAAUUGGUGCAGAACACGUGAAGGAAAGUAAGGAAUUUGAAAAUGAAACCAAUUAUUGUUCAUAUGUCUAAACAGUUCAGGUUUGUAUUUUGUGAUUGUCUUGUUCUUUUUUAUUUUGCACAACGAUAUGUUUAGUUGAGAAUGAAAAUACGGAAUUGGAAAUUGAGUCUAACAAAACCGAUGGAAUAGGAAGCAAAAUAGAUGAAGAAUUGAGUGUAUAAUUUGAUGAUGGAGAGAAGAAUAGGAUGGAGUCUGAAGCUACUCUCAGAGGAGGAACCGUAAAUGGUUCUUGAUGACACGUUAAAAUCUAGUUACUGCAAACAAGCACCACAGGCUAAUUUGGAUGUGAAAUGCUUCUCUGAAAUGAAAAGUAAAUGAAGCUUCUGAAGAUGAUGAUUCUGUGGAGAUUUCUGCUGAAGAAAUCAAAGAUUGCCAUUGUAAAAAACGUACCUUACCAGCUUUCCCUCUCAGCACCACAGGCUAAUUUGGAUGUGAAAUGCUUCUCUGAAAUGAAAAGUAAAUGAAGCUUCUGAAGAUGAUGAUUCUGUGGAGAUUUCUGCUGAAGAAAUCAAAGAUUGCCAUUGUAAAAAACGUACCUUACCAGCUUUCCCUCUCAGCACCACAGGCUAAUUUGGAUGUGAAAUGCUUCUCUGAAAUGAAAAGUAAAUGAAGCUUCUGAAGAUGAUGAUUCUGUGGAGAUUUCUGCUGAAGAAAUCAAAGAUUGCCAUUGUAAAAAACGUACCUUACCAGCUUUCCCUCUCAGCACCACAGGCUAAUUUGGAUGUGAAAUGCUUCUCUGAAAUGAAAAGUAACUGAAGCUUCUGAAGAUGAUGAUUCUGUGGAGAUUUCUGCUGAAGAAAUCAAAGAUUGCCAUUGUAAAAAACGUACCUUACCAGCUUUCCCUCUCAGCACCACAGGCUAAUUUGGAUGUGAAAUGCUUCUCUGAAAUGAAAAGUAAAUGAAGCUUCUGAAGAUGAUGAUUCUGUGGAGAUUUCUGCUGAAGAAAUCAAAGAUUGCCAUUGUAAAAAACGUACCUUACCAGCUUUCCCUCUCAGCACCACAGGCUAAUUUGGAUGUGAAAUGCUUCUCUGAAAUGAAAAGUAAAUGAAGCUUCUGAAGAUGAUGAUUGUGUGGAGAUUUCUGCUGAAGAAAUCAAAGAUUGCCAUUGUAAAAAACGUACCUUACCAGCUUUCCCUCUCAGCACCACAGGCUAAUUUGGAUGUGAAAUGCUUCUCUGAAAUGAAAAGUAAAUGAAGCUUCUGAAGAUGAUGAUUCUGUGGAGAUUUCGCUGAAGAAAUCAAAGAUUGCCAUUGUAAAAAACGUACCUUACCAGCUUUCCCUCUCAGCACCACAGGCUAAUUUGGAUGUGAAAUGCUUCUCUGAAAUGAAAAGUAAAUGAAGCUUCUGAAGAUGAUGAUUCUGUGGAGAUUUCUGCUGAAGAAAUCAAAGAUUGCCAUUGUAAAAAACGUACCUUACCAGCUUUCCCUCUCAGCACCACAGGUUAAUUUGGAUGUGAAAUGCUUCUCUGAAAUGAAAAGUAAAUGAAGCUUCUGAAGAUGAUGAUUCUGUGGAGAUUUCUGCUGAAGAAAUCAAAGAUUGCCAUUGUAAAAAACGUACCUUACCAGCUUUCCCUCAGAAGAAGUGACCUUAUGUGUGUCUCUCUGUGGAACUUUAAUAUGAGAAGAUAAAGGAGGAAGAAGGGAGAGAGAAAAGGAAGAAAAGACUUAAUUGUUGGGAUGACCGGAUGGGUAUGAAGAUGCAGUAGAGGCACCCCUCAGUGGCUGUAAGGUUUAAUGAGCAAAUUGGAAGUAGAAAAGGGUCCACAUUCAUUCAACCCAAGAGGGCUUGGCUUCCUAAGUUUCUCUUGCUCUGGGUUCUGUUGGUGGCAUUCAUCAGUAUGUUAAUCUACAAGGGAAUGAACACUGAUAACAAAGUUAGAAGAAAGGAAGUUCUGGGAAGUAUGUGUAACCAGAGGGAGGGCAAGGGUGCUUCAGGAUCAAUUUAGUGUUUGUGCCAACCUAUGUCCAUGCUUUGGCCGUUCACAUUACCACUUUCCACUACUCCAAAAAUGUAUUAGCAAUUGAUGAGUUUUGUAGGGGUGUUUGGUUGGUUUGAAUGCAGGGAACUUUUGCUGAGUACAAGCGGCCCGAACAGCAUUCGAGCGACCUUUGGUUAGUGGCGUGGCAUUUGCGCGCGCAAAGAGUGGUGUACUUUGAGUGAGAAAAAUUUGAGAAGCAACAUGAGUGGAAGAACUAUGAUAUGGCAAAAAAAUGCACGAAGAGUGGUGCACUUUGAGUGAGAAAAAUUUGAGAUGCAGCAUGGGUGGAAGAACUAUGAUAUGGCUAAAAAAUGGAACCCAGGAAGGAAAAUAAGGAAUUAAAAAAUUGGAACCAAUUAUUCAACAAUUUUUUUCUACACAUGUGCAUUUUUGCAAUAUUUAGCUGAUAUGUUUUUAUGUUCUUUAUAUUGCUGCAUCACCUCAUGCUAAUUUAGAUAUGAAAUGCUUCUCUGAUGAGCUUCGUAAAUGAAGCUUCCAAAGAUGAACGGUUCUGUGGAGAUUUCUGCUGAGGAAAUCAAAGAGCGCUGUUGUAAAAAACCUCACCUGCUUUCCCCCUCAGAAGACUGAGUCAAGGAAAACCGAUGAAUUAUUAGAAAGCAAAUUAAAUGAAGAUUUGAGUGUGCAAGUAAGUUGAUGAUGGAGAGAAGAAUAAGAUGGAGUCUGAAGUUACUCUCAGAGGAGGAGGAACCAGAAAUGGUUCUUGAUGUUAAAAUCUAGUUACUGCCAAGAAGGUUGAUGAUUCUAAACAGAGGCACCACAUGCUAAUUUAGAUGUGAAAUGCUUCUCUGAAGAUGAAAAGAUGAUGAUUCUGUGGAGAUUUCUGCUGAGGAAAUCAUAGAGUGCCGUUGUUAAAAACUUCACAUGCUUUCCCUCUCAGGGCUAGAAGUAGUUGGAACCAAAUUAUGCUGAACAAAUUAAGAGCACACGAUCAAGGCAGGAAACGUCUAAUUAUGAAUUGGCAAGUGACUUUUCCUUGUUUAAUCAAUUAAAUUUUUAUUAUGAUUCUAAUCAUGCAUUUUGGGUAUCUACUUUCAUCAAAAUCAAAUUAAUAUGGGUAAUCCUCUUGGAUUAAUACACCCAGCCUCAUAUUCAAUUAUGAAUUUUAUUACAUUAGCGAUUACUAAAUCCCAUGGUUCACUAGUUGGGUAGUGAACGCUAAUCACAGUGAAGAUAUUUCAGAAGUUACCGACUCAAAAACAUUUUUUCAAUCUAGAAAUUCUGCUCAACUCCCAUAUCGUUGCAGUGAAAAUGAAAGCGAUGGGAUGAUUAGAUGCACGGUAAACAACAUUGUAAAGAGUAUGAAUCCAGUGGAAAGGGCAGUCCUGGGAUUUAUGUGCAAGGAGAUUGUUGAUAUGAGAAGACUAAUGUGGCUGAAGGAAUGUGGAUUGGAAACACAGCUUGUUAAGUAGUUCCAUCUACCAUUUCCCCUGAAAACCAUUUACUAAUCGCUAAAUGCAGAAAUAUUUGUGCUCCUUAAUUUUAUGAUGCAAUUUAAAUGCUCUUGAACAGUUUGGUUGUUGUUUAGAGAAAAACAAGCAUUAAAAAUCAAGGAUGUGAUGAAGAAAGCGCGCUUUUUUUUUUCU